CUCCCUUCUCUGGAUAAAUAUUGACGCAUAAAUCCCCUAUAAAGCGCUGCUCACAUGGACACAGCAACAACCCUUCAACAGAAGACAUCAGCCAGCCAUCCACAAUCUACAGGACAAUAACCAGCCAUCCACAAUCUACAGGACAAUAACCAGCCAUCCACAAUCUACAGGACAAUAACCAGCCAUCCACAAUCUACAGGACAAUAACCAGCCAU